AUUGAACGCUGGCGGCAUGCCUUACACAUGCAAGUCGAACGGUAACAGGUCUUCGGAUGCUGACGAGUGGCGAACGGGUGAGUAAUACAUCGGAACGUGCCCGAUCGUGGGGGAUAACGAGGCGAAAGCUUUGCUAAUACCGCAUACGAUCUACGGAUGAAAGCGGGGGAUCUUCGGACCUCGCGCGGACGGAGCGGCCGAUGGCAGAUUAGGUAGUUGGUGGGAUAAAAGCUUACCAAGCCGACGAUCUGUAGCUGGUCUGAGAGGAUGAUCAGCCACACUGGGACUGAGACACGGCCCAGACUCCUACGGGAGGCAGCAGUGGGGAAUUUUGGACAAUGGGCGAAAGCCUGAUCCAGCCAUGCCGCGUGCAGGAUGAAGGCCUUCGGGUUGUAAACUGCUUUUGUACGGAACGAUAAGCCUCUUUCUAAUAAAGAGGGGUCAUGACGGUACCGUAAGAAUAAGCACCGGCUAACUACGUG
rnacentral:rRNA from 1 species